CGCCUGCCGGCGACCGGCGCACGGGUGAGUAACACGUAUGCGACCUGCCCCCGCAGGGGGAUAACCGGGAGAAAUCCCGACUAAUACCGCGUAACGCCGCGGACCUGCAUGGGUCUGCGGCCAAAGGAAGCGAUUCCGGCGGGGGAUGGGCAUGCGGCGCAUUAGCUAGUCGGCGGGGUAACGGCCCACCGAGGCGACGAUGCGUAGGGGUUCCGAGAGGAAGGUCCCCCACACUGGUACUGAGACACGGACCAGACUCCUACGGAAGGCAGCAG
rnacentral:rRNA from 1 species